rnacentral:misc_RNA from 1 species
GUCAACUUUUUCUCUGUAUUGAUCAUUAUAUAAUACAAACUUUACCAAUUACAAGGGUUUUUUAGGUAGAUUGAGUAUCUGGGUAUAACUGGAAAUUUGAAAUUGUUGGAAGGUUUUUGAGAAAAUGGAACCGUCUUCGUCUUCGCCGGAGUUUGAUUACUUGUUUAAGCUGUUGUUGAUUGGAGAUUCAGGAGUAGGGAAGAGUAGUUUGUUGCUCAGUUUCACUUCUGAUGCCUUUGAGGAUCUUUCUCCAACUAUUGGUGUGGACUUCAAGGUAAAACAUGUCACCCUCGGGGGGAAGAAGUUGAAGCUUGC